AUUCCAGGUCCAGGAAUGUUCAGAAAAAUAAAUCAACAAAAAGGUGCUGAAACACGUGGAAACAAAAGGGCUUUUUGCCACCCAAACCAGGAUUCACACAGUGACCUCACACACUCGAAUGUGUCCCCUGCACAGCUCCUUCCCUGGGUGACCAAAGGCAAUCCCAGCAGGGUGUGUGUAACCCCCUGCCACCAGUGAUUCAGCACCUGGAUGGACUCACUGGCUCAGCCCACGUGUGUCACUUGUUGAGAAGCUUUUUGCUUGCCCAGUGACUGUCUCCCUGUCUGUGCUGAUCCCUGCUGAAACAACGUGCCUGAGAGGACAGCAGGAGAGAGCCUACAGAGACUUCCAGAUGCACAGAGCAUCUUGAUGUCUACCCUGAGAACACCUCUUUGAACCGUUUUGUUGCGAGGUUCUUCCUCUUCUGCAGUCCCUCACUUUUAGUGCUUCUUCUGUCAUGUUGAUCUUUUAUGGGUGUCUGUACUCCGGGCUUUGACAGGAGGUUGCUGAGGGUGUGAAAAAACAUUUGGCAGGGCCCUGUGUCACUCAGCACUGGCCAUGAGGAACAAUGCCAGACAUUUGCUGCUGGAGCAAGAGGAAAUCUGUUCAGCUGAGGCCUCUGAAGGUACUUAGCAGGAGCUGGAAGAUACAAAUAGGGAAAAUGAGGGGAGUGGCACAGAUUAAGGAAGUUUAUGGGAGGAAAAGGAACUACAAGUUGGGGAUGAGGAAAACUCCCUUCUUCUGACUCUCUAGGUGCUGAGUCUUGGGGUUCCCUAUGACUUUCUUGUUCCUUUAGCCUGUCAGCUCGGUGUGCUUAAGUGAUUUUCUGGCAACAGAUCUGGAGAGUGAGACAGGAGCCAAAACAGAAACACAGCAGGAAGUAAGGGAGCAAACAGAAAGGAGGUUUGUGGACAGGUACUUGAAAUGUGCUGUUCUUUAAAUGCCAGGAAAGUGGAUCAGAUUUAGGGCCAGAAAAAGGAGAGAGAGUGGUGAGAAAUGUUGAAAAAAGGAAAGUUUGCUAUUGCUGGUCCUUCUACCACAUGUUCAAAGAACAAACAGUCCAAAGUAGAAUGAAGGCACUGUGUCUCCUGGGGUACUUUGUUAAUGGCAGGAGAUUUAGCUCCUGGCAGUUUGUACUGUCUGUGCAGCAGCCCUUGCCCUAAACUUGGUGAGGCAACGCUUGUGUUACUGCCAUUACCUGUGUGUCUCACAGAGCCUGAGUCAACAACGUGUUGCUGCAUCAGCACAGAGAGAAGGUGCUGAGCAAGACACCGGCUUUACAACGCUGUGGCAGAAAGGAAAUUUUGCUGGGUAAAAAGGGACAAUCAAGUCCCAUUUCUGAUUCUGCCAGCCUCCCCUCCAAGAGACACAUUUCCAAGUGCAAGCGAGGGAAGAGCCCACAUUCUCUCAAAGCCCAAACCUCACGAGAGCUGAGGGAGCCCAACUUUGCGCUGAAGAAGAAAGACGCAAGACAGGAGU